rnacentral:lncRNA from 1 species
UUUGGUUAGCAUUAGGGAUAUUUUGAGUGAAGGACUAGUGUUGGAUAUUCAACUUUUUUCAGUAGGGAAAAUUGACAAUUUUUAAUUGUUCAAAUCUCAAUUUUAUUUAAAAAAUUCAAGCAAAUUGAAAGUGAUUUUGCGGAUACUUCGAUAAGGAUCUAAUAUAAUGGAUUUGAGUUUUGACACGAACGUCAUCUAAAGCAUGCCACGUUUGGUGAUUAAUUAACGACUAAACUGGAUAACUCGUUAGAUUUAAUUUAUUGGGAAUUGAAGGUAUAUUAUUCCAAAUCUCUCAAAUUGGUAAGAUAACACCAUCAUUGUGGAGCUAAAAAUAAUCACAAGGCGACACGUGGAUUUUGGAUAAAAGAUAACAAAAAGACCCUUGAGGCAUAUCGGGAUUCCUACGCGUGAGCAGCAGACAAUCAUCUCUCAACCAAAUCAAAAGUGUUCAAAAUAGGUAACCAAUUCAAAGAUAUUCUCAUCCAUCCUCAUCCUAUAUUUUCCACAAGGUAAUCAUUCCAUAACUUACAAAAUAUUCCACAUAAAUCACGUAACCCCCAAAAUAUUUAUUCCAAAAAUGUAUUGAUUAACCAAUUAAUGGAUUAAUUGUCUUAUUAAUCCAUUAAAUCACACAUUAAACCAUAAGUUACACCCUAAAAAACAUCCAAGGUGUUCGUCUUGAGGAAUAUCUAGUGAGGACGUUUCUUGGCCAAUGAGCACACAGCUCCCCGAAAGGUUGGCGCCGAUUGAUGUUGUCUGUCAGGUUUCUGCUUAUUGUCGGGCUGUAAGAGAAGGGACAGAGUUAAUCAUGAAAGGUGCCUUUGUGGGGCCUUAGGUGUAGGCCUUGAGGCUCACAAUCAAAAUUAACCUUUAGGUGUUCAGGCGUGCCACUGCCAUAUUUAGCAUGAUAGAUGUAAAACAGAGGUUUAGUUUGAGUAAAUAUGCCCGAGUUUAGUAAUGAAAGGUGCCUUUGUGGGGCAUUUGGUUUAGGCCUUGAGGCUUCCAAUCAAAACUAACCGAAUACUUAAACAUAUAUCGGUUGUUUCAUUGUUGCAGAAGUAUCACAACCGUUAUACUUUAAUUGCCUGAGCCCGCAUAGCAGAAUGAAUUUAGAUAGGUGCCUUUGUCGGGCCUUAGGUAUAGGCCUUGAGGCUUCCUAUCAAAGUUAAUUCUAUACUCAAGCGUUUUUGUAGCAAUCCUGAUAUAACAGAAGUGAAACUAGAAAAUAGGCUAAUUACUUGCGACCCAAGUAACUUAGGACUUCUUGUUAUGAAGGACUGUCGUGGAUGGGUUAAGUCGACAUAAGGCUCUUUUUUAUGCCUUGAGACCAAGGACUUUUAAUUGAUCAAUCUCGUCUGCCCGAAUGGUUAGAACUUAGAAGUCUUUUAAUCAUAAACUGGCUAGAAAUAACUUGGAUGCAGAUGGAAAUAUACAUCAUAUUACUAGAUUCAUGAAUGAAAGACAAAAACAAAGGAGGUCGGGCAAGGUUGAUCGUCUUGCAACUUCCUCUCUUUGUGAUUUACAAAGGGUUUGAAUGCUAGAAGGGGAGAUUGGGAGAUGAGUUUAUAUGAGGGAAUCGAUACUACAACAAGAUUUAAACAAGGUAGCAGAGCUUUUACAAAGACUUUCUGGUGAAGGUUGAUCCCGAAAGGGAUGAAGGCUUAGGUGCUAACUACAGCUUCAUGAAGGCAAAUCUGGUUUGAGCAGAGUUUGUGCUUGUAUUUGUUUGUUUAAUUGAGUGUCCUUGUCUCUGAUUUUUCUUCCUCCUUUUAUAGACGAUUUGGCCUGGCUGCCUGCAGUAUUGAUUUUGCCCGAAUGCAUCUGAAAGGUAGUGACUCAUCAACUUUUUACUUGUACUGCCAUUGUAAGGUACUUUUGGGCUGAUUAGCUGGCUGGUUUACACCACUUGAUCUUUAGGUAGGUGAGCAAGUGGUUUGAAUGAUCUGCACUUGGUCGAGAAACAAGCCCCUUCUUUCUUCUGGGCUUCGGUUGGGCCUUGGGCUUCUCGCUUUCCAUUCCUUUGUCUGGGCUAACUCCUUUUUGAGCCCAAAGUUCAAGUUUUAUUCCAAACACAAGGGCCGGCCAACUUUUCUCCAAAGGGGACCGGCCACCCUCUCUUAUAAAAACCCCAUUUUCUUCUCAACAAUUGACUUCCAACACUCUUGCAAAACUUUAAAAACUCUUUAAACACUUUUCUCUCUAAAUUCUAACUUUGGCAUUAGAGGUGCUUCGGCCAAAGCCCCCCCCAUUCAUCGUGGGUGCAUGAGGCUCUUGACCUUGACCAUAAGGUGUUGAUUGUUUUGUAGGUGCAAUUUUGUCCAAGAAGAAGGAGGAAGAAAUUUGCAUCCACAACCAUAAUAGUAAGGGUGUGUUUGGAAGUGUGCUUGAAAGGACUGAAAGUAUUUUUGAUGGAACGUACUUUUGAAAUCAAUCAUUUACAAUAAUGCAAAUGAAUUUUUGAAAAAAAAAAAAAAUGAAAUGUGCUUCUUUCCAAUUGCACUAUAAGUGUUUUUGGAAUCUAAAAAUAUUUUUUCCAUAAGCAUUUUCAUUCAUUUUAGAAGCACUUUCAAACACACCCUAAUUCAUUUGUCAUCUUCAACUCCGACAUAAUUUAGAAGUUUGUCUUCAUUUUAACUUAAUGAAUCAAUAGAACUUUUUUUUUUUUGAAAACCUCAACG